AGAGUUUGAUCAUGGCUCAGGAUAAACGUUGGCGGCGUGCCUAACGCAUGCAAGUCGCACGAGGCGCAAGCCGAGUGGCGGACGGGUGAGUAACACGUAGGGACCUGCCCAGAAGUGGGGGACAACUCUCCGAAAGGAGAGCUAAUACCGCAUACGGUCUACGGACCAAAGCCGCAAGGCGCUUCUGGAGGGACCUGCGGUGGAUUAGCUAGUUGGUGGGGUAACGGCCUACCAAGGCGACGAUCCAUAGCUGGUCUGAGAGGAUGAUCAGCCACACUGGGACUGAGACACGGCCCAGACUCCUACGGGAGGCAGCAGCGAGGAAUUUUGCACAAUCGACGCAAGUCGGAUGCAGCAACGCCGCGUGGGGGAAGAAGGCUUUCGAGUUGUAAACCCCUUUUGUGAGGGAAGAAGAUCUGACGGUACCUCACGAAUAAGUCACGGCUAACUACGUGCCAGCCGCCGCGGUAAUACA
rnacentral:rRNA from 1 species